AUGGGUCUGAAAUUGACAUCCCCUUUGAACAGACUGAUGAAGGGCAGGUGGUUAUCCAAUUCCUGCUCACUAUUUUUAUACUUGGGAGGUCAGGCAGUGGAAAAACCUACCUUACACUCUAUGAAGCUCUGUCUGACUUACCAUUGUGUUCCUUGCAUUGCCAUAGGUAUGGUCUACAUGCAAAAUGGUACUUCUAAAAUUGAGGAAGCUGGUGACUGUUUUGCUAGGGCUGAGUGCUGGUCGGAGACAGCUGAAAUAUUCUUUAAAGCUAAAUGUUACACCAAGUGUUUCUCCAUGUGCUCGAAUGGAAAACAAUUAUACAAUCUGGGCUUGCAGUUUCUGCAACAGUUAAGAGGAGGAACAUUCACUUGA
rnacentral:rRNA from 1 species